AUGGCGGCGGAGGCCCGGGCCGAGGGCUCCGGGCCGCCCGCGCCCCCUCCGCUGCCCGUCCCCGAGAAGCGCCCGGCCCCGGUAGACGGCCGGGAGGAGGAGCGGCCCGGGACGAAGCGGCGCCGCGCGAGCGUCGCGGCGCUCGACGGCGUGCCCUGCGCCGCGGCCAAGGGCGCGGACGGCGAGGCGGACGGGAACCGUGACGGCGGCUCGUCCUUCUCCUUCCAGCACUCGCGCGGCGGUUUCGUGGCGCUGGAGACGACGCCCAAGUUCGGGUCAUUCAACCCGCCGGUGGCCGCCGAGCAGGAGGCCCUCCACCCGGAAGAUUCACCGGUUGUGAAGGAGGAGGGGGAUACGGCCUCGGCCACCGGAGUUGAGGUUGGCAAAGACGGAAGUUCGCAGUCAGUGGCGGCGGUGGACGAUCAGGGCCGUCGCCAUCCGGGAAGACAAACUGAAUCGGAACGAUGA
rnacentral:rRNA from 1 species